UUACUCCAACCUCAUGUUUCUGAUCAAAACCACAAUAAUAAGUCUAAGUCUUCACCUUAAAGACAAAAGUGAAAGACUUUAAUGAGCUAAGUCUUCACUAUUACAAGUGGGAAUAUCAAUUACAAUGCAUUAUAAAUAUCACCUAAAUCUCCCAUUGUAAUGCAUUCAUCAUGAUACAAGUGUCUAGUUCAAUUAUAUAUAUCUCAGUGAUUGCCAAUAAUUUCAUUGUGUUGAAAUUUCCAAAAUACUUCAAAGAAUGAAGCUCUUACCAAUGUCAUGUCUUAUUUUGUUCUUCUAAGUGUUUGUAAUUGCAACAUCACCUCAUGCUGCAACAAAAAUCCAAGGUAGCGAGGCUGAUGCUCUAUUGAAGUGGAAAACAAGCCUUGACAACCAUAGCAGGGCAUUUCUCUCUUCAUGGAUUGGUAAUAAUCCUUGUGGUUGGGAAGGAAUCACGUGUGAUUAUGAAUCGAAGUCCAUCAACAAGGUAAAUCUCACCAAUAUUGGAUUAAACGGUACUCUUCAAAGUCUCAAUUUCUCAUCACUUCCGAAAAUACACACCUUAGUUUUAACAAACAACUCCUUGUAUGGAGUUAUUCCACACCAUAUUGGAGAGAUGUCUAGUCUGAAAACUCUUAAUUUGUCGAUUAACAAUCUCUUUGGGUCAAUCCCACCAUCCAUAGGUAAUUUGAUUAAUUUGGAUAGUAUUGACCUUUCACAAAAUAAUCUCUCUGGACCAAUUCCUUUCACUAUCGGAAAUUUAACCAAACUAAGUGAAUUGUAUUUUUAUUCAAAUGCUCUCUCCGGAGAAAUUCCACCUUCCAUAGGUAACUUGAUCAAUUUGGAUCUUAUUCACCUAUCAAGAAAUCAUCUCUCUGGACCAAUUCCUUCCACCAUCGGAAAUUUAACAAAACUCGGUACAUUAUCUCUUUUCUCAAAUGCUCUUGCUGGACAAAUUCCACCUUCCAUAGGAAAUUUGAUAAAUUUGGAUACUAUUUACCUUUCAAAAAAUCAUCUCUCUGGACCAAUUCUUUCCAUCAUCGGAAAUUUAACAAAAUUGAGUAAAUUAACUCUUGGCGUAAAUGCUCUCACCGGACAAAUUCCACCUUCCAUAGGUAAUUUGAUUAAUUUGGAUUACAUUUCCCUUUCACAAAAUAAUCUCUCUGGACCAAUUCCAUCCACUAUCGGAAAUUUGACAAAACUUAGCGAAUUACAUCUUUCAUUUAAUUCUCUCACUGAGAAUAUUCCAACAGAAAUGAAUAGGCUUACCGAUUUGGAAGCACUCCAUUUAGAUGUUAAUAAUUUUGUUGGUCAUUUACCUCACAAUAUUUGUGUCGGUGGGAAGAUAAAAAAAUUCACUGCUGGACUUAACCAGUUCACUGGCUUAGUUCCAGAGAGUUUGAAGAAUUGCUUAAGCCUUAAAAGAGUGAGGCUUGAUCAAAACCAACUGACUGGAAAUAUAACAAAUAGUUUUGGUGUGUAUCCAAACUUGUACUACAUGGACUUGAAUGAUAAUAAUUUUUAUGGUCAUCUUUCUCCAAAUUGGGGAAAGUGCAAGAAUCUCACAAGCCUUAAAAUCUCUGGUAAUAAUUUAACAGGAAGAAUACCACCAGAGCUAGGCAGCGCAACAAAUUUACAGGAGCUUAACUUGUCUUCAAACCAUCUAACGGGAAAAAUUCCAAAGGAGCUAGAAAACUUAUCUUUGUUGAUCAAACUCUCGUUAAGUAACAAUCACCUUUCUGGAGAAGUUCCUGUACAAAUUGCAUCAUUGCACGAGCUAACUGCAUUGGAGCUUGCAACAAAUAAUUUGAGUGGCUUCAUCCCUAAAAGACUUGGUAGGUUAUCUAGGUUAUUGCAGUUAAAUUUGAGCCAAAAUAAGUUUGAGGGGAACAUUCCUGCUGAGUUUGCCCAAUUGAAUGUUAUUGAAAAUCUUGAUCUUAGUGGGAAUUUUAUGAAUGGAACCAUACCAUCAAUGCUUGGGCAGUUAAAUCGCUUAGAAACAUUGAAUCUCUCACAUAACAAUCUCUCUGGUACCAUUCCCUCAAGCUUUGUUGAUAUGUUAAGCUUGACAACUGUUGAUAUAUCUUANUUUUUUUUUUUUUUUGUCUAUAUUAAUUAAUUAAGGUUAGAAUAUAGUUUAUCAUUAGUAGUUACAUGUAAAAUAGAAUUAUUUCACAAUUGUCUAAUCUACAUUUCAUGUUUUGUUUAUGAAAUUCUUUUGCAGACAAAGGCUAAAGCCAACCUCGAUACAAAUAAAAAACACAAUUCCCCGACUGCAUUUUCUGAAAAGAAUUGAAGGUUUUUCAAUAAAGAUCACACAAUUUCUGUUACCAACACAGAAACCCGAAGCAGAAGCUGAUAGAAUUAAUUUCGUUAAGAAUAAGAAAGGACAAAAGUUGAUAAUCGUAUCCAAACUUCAAAAUAAUUCACGAUUCAAGUCAUCAAUCAAAAUGACAACAGUGACUGGCUACACAAAGCUCAAGUGUUCAACCCCUAAAAAAUCAUAAUCUAUAAUAAUAAAUCGAGAUUCAUCAGAAUAAAGUAAGGUUCAUGUUACGGCUCAACAAUCGGACAGAAAGAAUUGAGAUCCAUGCUGUGAUUCAUAUCAAAUUAGAUACGCGCAAUUUGCAUAGGUUAGGUUCAUUUUUGUUUCAAACCGAGAUACGACUAGAAUGUAUUGUAAAAUAUUUAUAAACAAGGUUAUGAUGAUAGAUCAGAUAAUCUAGUACUAGUGCUGUCAAAAUGAAUUUUGGCUUGAUGUCUUCUCUCAUUCUAUAUUCCUUUAUAAAUAGUACAGACUCAGUAGCUACAAUUAGUAACUUCCUAAAUUAUACAAAAUAUAUAGGAAACUAAUGAUGACAGAUCCCCUUAUUGACAAGUACAAGUUGUAGAACAAGAUAAGAGGUGAAUAUAUAUAACUACUACAGUGUGGGUUACAUCUUUGAGUUCAAAAAAAGGGACCAUUAACAGAAUGCAAAUUCUUUUGUUGAUGACAAUAUAAAAUAUAAAUAAAUAAUCAAAAUCCAACCAAAUGUUCUCAAUCCAAUCAUAAUGUAGCUGUAAAUAUGUGAUGUGUAGUAAAAAGAAGAUAAUUACCUCUCCCAUAGCAAAAAUAUUGUAUACUAAAUCAAAUGAUCUGAUCCAUUUUCACCAAUACCCUUUGCACGAGCAAGAUCCAUUUUUGAAAUGAUGGAAGCGCCUUGAGUCUCUGAGUAUGACCUCAUGUUCAACAAUCAUGGAUAUGUAGGAUAUGGCACUAUGGCAAUCACCACAGAUGCGUAAAUUCUUAGUGAUUCGAAUAGGUGCACCUGGGGGUAGUGUUAGGAUGCAUAGGCAAGAGCCAACUUCUCACUGUGUUCUAAAAGCUGGUCACCCUUUUCUUCAUCAUCCACAUCAUGAAGAGCAAAGUUUGUCUGUGGAACAUACCCAAUGGCCUUAAUGCGCUGAAUCAAAUCUGCCAGUGUUUCAUAUAUCUUCUGAGAUUGUGAGUGAGUUCUGUCUCCCACAUAAAAGGUUUCCAUACCUUUCCUUCCUUGGACCCAGCUCCAACCAGGUCUUUUCUUGAUUCCAGUACGUUUCAUCAAAUAUCUAAUUCUCGCCACAUCUUUCCAGCGUCUGGCAUUAGCAUAUAUAUUUGAAAGCAAUGUAUAUGUCCCAUCAUUGUCGGCCUUCAAUUCUAACAGUUUUUUCGCCGCGAAUUCUGCAAGUUCUACAUUUGAGUGUGUCCUACAAGCACUAAGCAAGGCAAUCCACACUACUGGUGUUGGUUCCAUCGACAUAUCAUUAAUGAGUCUCGUAGCUUCACAUAGACGACCGGCUCGACCGAAAAGAUCAGCCAUACAAGCAUAAUGCUCUACUCCAGGAUCAACUACAAAAUCCUUGCUCAUUCUAUAAAACAAAUCGAUUCCACGAUCCACCAUUCCCGAAUGACUACAAGCAUAAAGCACAACAAGAAAGGUUAUGCCAUCAAGCACUAGAGCCUCUUUCCUCAUCUCAUCAAAAACACGGAAAGCAUCUUCGCUGCACCCAUGCAUGCCAUACCCGGUGAGUAGCGAGGUCCAAGAGAUGGCAUUUCUCUUUGACAUGCUGUCGAAAACUACUUGGGCAGUAUCUACAUCUCCGGAUUUGGAAUACAUGUCUAUGAGACAAUUAGCCACAAACAGAACAUCUGAAUCAAUACGACUUCUACGCAACACAUAAGCAUGAAUCUGCUUACCAAACCUCAAUGCUGCCAAACGAGCACAAGCCAUGAGUACACAAGAUAUGGUAAAAUCAUUAGGAACUAUACAGUUAUCAAAUUUAAACAUUUCAGAGAAAAGUUGCAGGGCGUGAUUUGCAUCUCCAUACUGAGCAUAACCUCCAAUCAUCACAGUCCAAGUCACCACAUCCCUAUCUUUGGGACAUAUUUCAUCAAACAUCGCACGAGCCACUUCUAAACUCUUGCAUUUAGCAUACAUAUCAAUUAGAGCAUUAAUCCCCGCCAAAUCAUCAUUAUCAUCAUUAUGCUCCCCCUUGAGAAUAAAUUUAAUUGAAUAACAAUGAGUUUCUUUUCCAUGAAGCAAAGCUCCAACAGACGCACAACCAGAAAGCAACGACAUGAGCGUAACCACAUUAGGACGACAACUACAUCCACACAUUUGCCGAAACACAUCCAUUGCUUCACAACCAAACCCUCUCUGAGCAUACCCAGAAAUAACAGAACUCCAAGUAACAACAUCCAACUCAAUUCUCUCUUCCCUCAUUUUCCCAAACAAAGAAAGUGCAUCCUCAAAUCUACCAUUUUGAGAAUACCCGGUAACCAUAGCAUUCCAAGUAACAACAUCCUUAAACCGCAUCCUCUCAUAAACCUUACUAGCGUCUUCCAUUUUCCCACAUUUUGCAUACAUAUCAACCAAAGCAUUCCCAACAAAAAAUCCUCAACCAAACCAGUUAUAACACAUAAACCAUGAACUUGUUUCCCACAUAACCCCAAACCAAGAAAACCACUAACAGGAAGUAUAUUAACAACACCAACAGUAUCCGGCAAAAUCCCAUACCCAACCGUCAUUUCCCUAAAAAGAAAAACAGCAUCAUUUGGAACAAAACAAUGCGAAUAAACAGAAACAAUCGAAUUCUACGACACCGAAAUAAGAGGAGACCAUGUAUAAUGUAUUGUUGAUGAAGUAGUUUUGCUUGGAUUAUAGAUUUGCAUUGCUGUUUUGAAAUUUACGAAGAAGAAUGAUAUAAGAGGAGAUUAUGUGUAUUGAUAAGUAGUGGUGGUUUUGAGUUGAACGGAGGGAAACGUGAGAGCAUGCUAGCUUUUUCAUAAAAAGCCAGAUCAUAAAGUUUUUUCAAUGCUGUUGUUACUUGAAUUCAUUUAUCACUUUUUUCAUUAUGGACAAAACUAAGUACAAGCCUUGCAAGUAAGCUGCUACUAUUGAAGACUUGUGAAGCAAGCUUCCCAUUCUCUCCUUCAACUUUCUGUACAACCAUUCAAUGCAUUGGUUGAUGUGUAUACAGUUGAAAAGCACUAAUGUUGUAACCAAAACUCCAAAUGUUUCAAUUAUCACCGAAUUUCUUUAAAAGGUAAUUUGCAAUCCUUCAUUUGCAGAUUCUUGAAGUUUCUAUUUGCUAGCAUGUACUACAUGGCGUAUUUAAUGAAAUAGACAAAUAGUUAAAUUUGGUGCUACAAACUUGUUCAAAAUGAAUGAGUGAUCAACACAUUGUCGAUUCAUUUUGUAGGUGUGAUGUUUUUAGUUAUGGGGUCAUCUUAUGGGAGCUCUUUACCAAGCAGGAACCCUGGAAAGAAGUGUAUCUAUAUCGAGUUAUUUAUCAUGUUGGUGAGGAGGAUGGCCGUCUGGACAUUCCAGACAUUAUGGCCCCUGAUAUUACUAAUAUUAUUAGACAAUGUUUGAAGAAGCAAGUGUAAUCUUUUAGGUGCAGAGCAUUUUAAUAUUUAUAUGGUGUAUGUAAUGCAAUUAUCAUGUCCUACAUUAAAAUGUUUUGCCACUAAAAGUAAACGCAAUUACUCAAAAUAGAAUGUGAAAUAACGAGCGUUCCGUAAAUAUAUUGUUAGCAAUCUGCAGUCUCUAUAAUGAAUAGGAACUGGAAGUAAGUUGCAAGGAAAAUAAAGUUCAAUCCACCUACUAUUUAAUUUUCUUUUAUUUGUUUCAUUAUCAUACUUGUACAUUUAAUUUUCUUAAUCUUUAUUAUUCACUGUAUCAGGAUUUAUGGGCAAAAAGAAGAUAAGAACCUUUGAAAGUCUUUUGCAUACUUUGGAGGAGCAUGCAUUGCAACCACUCAGGUACAUUUUCUCAAGGAUUUCAAGCAUUCGAGACCUAGAAUAUCUAUCAGUUUCUCGCAAUUUGUGAAUUUCAACUCCUCCAAACUCUCUACAUUGGACAGCAUCCUCUCUAGUGUACUGCCUAUAUUAAUCAGUCAGACCAAAUUCUACCUCAUUUUCCAACAUAUUUUCAUGAGUGUAAUUAGAACUUCGUCUCUAAACAUAUACUAUACAAAAGUAUUCACAAAAUGGGUUAUUAAGUUAAGGAACACUGUUUUGUUGGUGCAGUGGUUAGUGGAAAUACCCAACAUAAUAAUUGAAAGAGACCUUACACCCGUAACAGAAAAUCCGUAAAAGAUUACAACUUGAUGCAUGAAACGAAUACCAAACAUAAUGUUAACUAAAUGGAAAAUCUACAUUAUAAGGUUGGACACAAUGCAACAAGUCGGCAACAACCCGUGAACAACAGCAGAAAAAUGUAGUACAAAAAUCUAUAUUUAAUUCAUACUCUAAGAGAAAUAAAAAAUGCAGUACAAAUUGUCUGUGAAGUUUACCUUGAAAAAUGUUAAAUAAAAAAUGCAGUACAAAUUGUCUGUGAGGUUUAAAUUGCACUUACCGUGUUCGGCCUAGCAAUUUCGACAUUUUUUCCAAUUGAAUUAUGAGUUGUGGAUUAUAUAAUGAAUGGUUUUAAUAGAGUAAUGAAAGAUAAGAUAAGUCUUUCAAUGAAUUAGUUUUUUUUUUAUCUUUUUUUGUGGCCGCUAUUACUCCAACCUCAUGUUUCUGAUCAAAACCACAAUAAGUCUAAGUCUUCACCUUAAAGACAAAAGUCUUCACUAUUACAAGUGGGAAUAUCAAUUACAAUGCAUUAUAAAUAUCACCUAAAUCUCCCAUCAUAAUACAAGUGUCUAGUUCAAUUAUAUAUAUCUCAGUGCUUGCCAAUAAUUUCAUUCUGUUGAAAUUUCCAAAAUACUUCAAAGAAUGAAGCUCUUACCAAUGCCAUGUCUUAUUUUGUUCUUCUAUGUGUUUGUAAUUGCAACAUCACCUCAUGCUGCAACAAAAAUCCAAGGUAGCGAGGCUGAUGCUCUAUUGAAGUGGAAAUCAAGCCUUGACAACCAUAGCAGGGCAUUUCUCUCUUCAUGGAUUGGUAAUAAUCCUUGUGGUUGGGAAGGAAUCACGUGUGAUUAUGAAUC
rnacentral:lncRNA from 1 species